rnacentral:rRNA from 1 species
CGCUGCCUACGGGGGGCAGCAGUGGGGAAUAUUGCACAAUGGGGGAAACCCUGAUGCAGCGACGCCGCGUGAAGGAAGAAGUCUUUCGGUAUGUAAACUUCUAUCAGCAGGGAAGAAAAUGUCGGUACCUGCCUAAGAAGCCCCGGCUAACUACGUGCCAGCAGCCGCGGUAAUACGCAGGGGGCAAGCGUUAUCCGGAUUUACUGGGUGUAAAGGGAGCGUAGGCGGUUUAGCAAGUCGGAAGUGAAA